GGUCAGUAAAAACAUGGUCAGUUGGAACCCUA
rnacentral:piRNA from 1 species